rnacentral:rRNA from 1 species
GGCAAAAGCUCAAAUUUGAAAUCUGGCCCCCCCCGCGGGGGUCCGAGUUGUAAUUUGCAGAGGAUGCUUUGGGCGCGGCGCCUUCCGAGUGCCUUGGAACAGGUCGCCUCAGAGGGUGAGAGCCCCGUACGGUUGGACGCCUAGCCCGUGUAAAGCUCCUUCAACGAGUCGAGUAGUUUGGGAAUGCUGCUCAAAAUGGGAGGUAAAUUCCUUCUAAAGCUAAAUACUGGCCAGAGACCGAUAGCGCACAAGUAGAGUGAUCGAAAGGUGAAAAGCACUUUGAAAAGAGAGUCAAAUAGCACGUGAAAUUGUUAAAAGGGAAGCGUCUGCGACCAGACGCGCCGCCCGCGGCUCACCCGGCGCCUCGGCGCCGGGGCACGCCGCGGGCGUCGGGCCAGCAUCGGCUCUGCCGUGGGUACAAGGACCGCGGGAACGUAGCUCCCUCGUGGAGUGUUAUAGCCCGCGGCACCAUGCCCGCGGCGGGGCCGAGGACCGCGCC